rnacentral:lncRNA from 10 species
CCAAAAGGGGCUCCGGCGAUCACUCCAGCCAUCCAUCCCUUUUAGCUUCAUCAUCCUGGUUCAAGCAGUGUUCCUUCUCUAUCAGGACUGGUGGCUGUUGUUUUGGGUUCCCAAAAGCAAGAGAUGGCCCCGGGCCAGUGGGUUCAAAGACAGGGUGACCAGAGAAGAGGGACACUGGAGGGGGCUGAGCAUUGCUCUGAACGGUGGGUGCACCGCCCUGGGUGCCCUGAAAGAGGCCAGCGUGUGUGGGGUGGGGAGGGCCGCCGGAGCCCCCAGGCACUAACUGUGAAGCUCUGCCUCCCUCCUUCUUCCUCUCCUUUCCUUUCCAGCCCCACUUUCCCAGGAGCCUCGCCAUACCCGCACCUGUGCCCUCCCCACCCCUGCCCUCCCACAGCUGCUGUGGCAUGCCUGUGCUCUGCACUUGCCUCAUCAGCUCUCUGCUCACUUUUCUCUCUCCUGCUUCUCUCUGCUUGCUUUUCUCUCUCCUGCUUCUCUCUGCUUUCUCUCCAACUGCCAGCUGAUUGGGUCCGGCAAGACCAUCCCAUCCUCAGAGCCCCAGCC